ensembl:lncRNA
AUGGAGAGCACCAGGCCACCUGUCCCACCUUGUCAUCUGAGCCACUGUGGGUACCCGCCCUGGACAAGGAAUUUCCAAGGGCAGUCCUUUCCAGCUAGGCAUUUAGACAAAGAGACACGCUGGAGCCAGGGUUUCACUGUAUGGCAACACAGAAGCUGGCAUUGUCAAAACCAGUCCCCCAAAACUGCUGGCGCACACCCAUGGUCACUGGUGACAGGCCUCCCUGGUGACAUUAGGCAGUGGGUAGACGAAGAGGGAGAAGUCCAGGAUAUACUUGGGCAGGACGUCCUGCAGCAGGGCCCGUGGGGCACUGCACAGGUGGUAGUGCAGGCUUUCGGGGCUGGCUGGCCUGUACCAGGCCUGGCGAGCUGGGAAUCGGACAUGGGGCGGUGCCCGCACCCACUCCAGCACCUGGUUGGCAUCCGCCUCCAGCCGCUCAUAGGAGCCCACAAAGUCAUAGCGCACCGCACAAGGCUGGCACAGGUGGUACACGGGCAUCCAAUGCUCGUUCAUGCGCUCGGGGUCCUCAUCCGCCAGGUAUCUCAGAAACUCAGGGAAGGUGACAUCGUCCCCCGCAGGGCUGGGCCCCGCUCCAGCCCUGUACCGCUUCACGAUCUCAACUCCGUAGCGCUGCUGGUACUCUCGGAUCUCACCAAACUUGUUGCGGUAAGCAGAGAGAAGACGCUCCAAGGGGUCCCGCACAAACAGGAACUUGAAGUAGUGCUGGAGGCGGUAGCGAAUCUCGUCAGGCCGCAGGUCGGCCAGGAACACCAGGUCGCUGCGGUGGUCCAUCUUGAGGCGGACGUCCACGUUGUCCAGGACUCCCGCCAGCACCUUCAGAACCCGCUUCCAGUUGGAGCAGGCCACCUUGGGCACAUAGCAGUAGAGGAAGCGGUAGCGGUCACUCACGAGGAUGUGGCGCAGCAGGGUGCGCCGCUGCCCCACCGGCAAGUCCCAGGGGUCCCGGGGCAUGCCCGGUUGUCCGCACACUGCCCGCAAGGUCCGGUUCCGGACGUCCUGCCUCACCUGCAGGUCCGAGUCCCCCGCAUCCAGGGACAGCCUCCCAGGCCUGGGGACUGUCCCGCGCCAGACCGCGUCCUCGCGAUUGGGAGGGUGCAGGGGAAGGGGCUUCAUCUCGGCCAGGAUGCCCCGCUCGAUCAUGAGCAGCAGCCCGCUGGAAGCCACGAUCACCGCGAACAUCAGCAUGGACGGCAGCAGGAGGGGCGGCCCGCCCAGCCCAGGCCGGGCCCUGCCCAGGGGCGCCCGCCUCAGCGCCCGGCCCAGGGGCUCGGCGCCAUCUGGGGCCGCCAGCGGGGUCAGCGGGCGGGGGAACAUUGUGCUCUCGGGGCGGGGGCCUGCGUGGGCCAGGCUGAUCCGAGGGCUGUACGGGAGGCGGGCUCGGGCUGGGGGCGGGCCCGAGGGCUUGGACCCGCGGAGCCCGGAAGGGAUCCGGGAGAGCAGCGCUGGCUGGAGGCCCCCGGCGCGCGCGGGGUGGCCCACUCCCGGGAUGCGGCGCCGAAGCGGGCGGCGGGCAGCGGGCAGCGCGCGAGCGCGGCGAGGGACCUGGGCCGGAUGUCCCGCCCGGCCGCUCUCCUCCCCCGGCCCCGCGGUGACACAGGCGCAGGGGCGGGCCCAGGCCAGGGGCGGGGAGAGGGGCGGGCCCCCUGCAGUGAGCGGGCUGGGAGGGCGUGUGCCGACCCCUACCCUGCAAAGGGCGCCUGA